CAUCGCUUCGCUGGUACUUAUACAAAAACACGAGUGAUACAGAGAAGAUUAGCAUGGCCCUUGAGCAAGGAUGUCACGCAAAAUCGUUUAGCACGUCAUCUCCUU
rnacentral:snRNA from 1 species